rnacentral:misc_RNA from 1 species
UUUCCGUAGGUGAACCUGCGGAAGGAUCAUUGAAUAUGCAAACCACAACACGCACUCUCUACUUGUGUCUGACGUUAGGUCAACAUGCGCAAGCAUGUGGCCUACUAACCUACACACCAUUGACCAACCAAUUAUCAAACCAAACUCUGAAGCUUUGGCUGCUGUUAAUCGGCAGUUUUAACAAAGAACAACUCUCAACAACGGAUAUCUUGGCUCUC